rnacentral:lncRNA from 1 species
AUUAAGGAGACGAAUACUUUUCCAAUGAGUUUUUAAUGCAUCUAGGAGAGAAUGAGAUUCUCUCAUAAUGAACACCUCUUGAGACACCACUACAUAAUGGCAUCUCGAAAAGGAGGAAUCAAAUCUUUUCAUGAUGGAGUUUGUGAGUCUGUUGAUCUCUUUUUGAGAUUGUGCUCUUGAGACUACGUGCAAUAUUCUGAAUAAUAUUCCAAACAAAUCAAUCACAAAAGCUCUAAAUGAGAUAUGGACUGGGUGUUGACCGAUACCCUCUUACCUUAAGGUUUGGGG